rnacentral:rRNA from 1 species
GCCCAGACUCCUACGGGAGGCAGCAGUGGGGGAUAUUGCACAAUGGGGGAAACCCUGAUGCAGCGACGCCGCGUGUGGGAAGACGGUCCUCUGGAUUGUAAACCACUGUCCCCAGGGACGAAGAUGACGGUACCUGGGGAGGAAGCUCCGGCUAACUACGUGCCAGCAGCCGCGGUAAUACGUAGGGGGCGAGCGUUAUCCGGAUUCACUGGGCGUAAAGGGAGCGCAGGCGGCACGGCAAGUCCGGUGUGAAAGCCCGGGGCCCAACCCCGGGACUGCACUGGAAACUGCCGGGCUGGAGUGUCGGAGGGGCAGGCGGAAUUCCUGGUGUAGCGGUGAAAUGCGUAGAUAUUAGGAGGAACACCGGUGGCGAAGGCGGCCUGCUGGACGACGACUGACGCUGAGGCUCGAAAGCGUGGGGAGCAAACAGGAUUAGAUACCCCAGUA